UAGUAACUGCGAGUGAAGCGGGAAAAGCUCAAAUUUAAAAUCUGGCGGUUUUGGCCGUCCGAGUUGUAGUCUGGAGAAGUGCUUUCUGUGCUGGACCGUGUACAAGUCUCUUGGAACAGAGCGUCAUAGAGGGUGAGAAUCCCGUCUUUGACACGGACUACCAGUGCUUUGUGAUGCGCUCUCAAAGAGUCGAGUUGUUUGGGAAUGCAGCUCAAAAUGGGUGGUGAAUUCCAUCUAAAGCUAAAUAUUGGCGAGAGACCGAUAGCGAACAAGUACCGUGAGGGAAAGAUGAAAAGCACUUUGGAAAGAGAGUUAAACAGUACGUGAAAUUGCUAAAAGGGAAACGCUUGAAGUCAGUCGCGUUGUCCGAAACUCAGCCUUGCCUUGGCUUGGUGUAUUUUUCGGUUAACGGGUCAGCAUCGAUUUUGACCGAUGGAUAAAGGUCAGGGGAAUGUGGCACCUUCGGGUGUGUUAUAGCCUCUGAUUGUAUACAUCGGUUGGGAUCGAGGAACUCAGCUUCGGCUUAGGAUGCUGGCAUAAUGGCUUUAAACGACCCGUCUUGAAACACGGACCAAGGAGUCUAACAUGCCCGCGAGUGUUUGGGUGGUAAACUCAGGCGCGUAAUGAAAGUGAAUGUUGAGACCUCUGUCGUGGAGGGCAUCAACGCCCGGACCUGACGUUCUCUGACGGCUCCGCGGUAGAGCGUGUAUGUUGGGACCCGAAAGAUGGUGAACUAUGCCUGAAUAGGGUGAAGCCAGAGGAAACUCUGGUGGAGGCUCGUAGCGAUUCUGACGUGCAAAUCGAUCGUCAAA
rnacentral:rRNA from 1 species